rnacentral:rRNA from 1 species
AGAGUUUGAUCCUGGCUCAGGACGAACGCUGGCGGCGUGCUUAACAUAUGCAAGUCGAACGAAGAGAGGUGCUUCGGUAUUUCUCUUAGUGGCGGACUGGUGAGUAACACGUGAGUAACCUGCCUCAUACAGGGGGAUAACUGGAAGAAAUUUCAGCUAAUACCGCAUAAUACAAGAAAUCGCAUGGUUGAAGAGUUAAAGGAGAAAUCCGGUAUGAGAUGGACUCGCGCAUCAUUAGCUAGUUGGUGAGAUAAAGGCCCACCAAGGCUACGAUGAUUAGCCGGCCUGAGAGGGUGUACGGCCACAUUGGGACUGAGAUACGGCCCAGACUCCUACGGGAGGCAGCAAUGGGGAAUAUUGGGCAAUGGAGGAAACUCUGACCCAGCGACGCCGCGUGAGCGAAGAAGAUCUUCGGAUUGUAAAGCUCUGUCAUUAGGGACGAGAAGAAGACGGUACCUAAUGAGGAAGCCCCGGCAAACUACGUGCCAGCAGCCGCGGUAAUACGUAGGGGGCGAGCGUUGUCCGGAUUUACUGGGCGUAAAGAGUGCGUAGGUGGCUUUACAAGUCAGAUGUGAAAUACCGCAGCUCAACUGCGGGGCUGCAUCUGAAACUGUAGAGCUAGAGUACAGGAGGGGAAAGCGGAAUUCCUAGUGGAGCGGUGAAAUGCGUAGAGAUUAGGAGGAACACCGGUGGCGAAGGCGGCUUUCUGGACUGCAACUGACACUGAGGCACGAAAGCGUGGGGAGCAAACAGGAUUAGAUACCCUGGUAGUCCACGCCGUAAAC